rnacentral:misc_RNA from 1 species
GAAAUGCGAUAAGUAGUGUGAAUUGCAGAAUUCAGUGAAUCAUCGAAUCUUUGAACGCACAUUGCGCCCUAUGGUAUUCCGUAGGGCAUGCCUGUUCGAGCGUCAUUUACACCUUCAAGCCUUGCUUGGUGUUGGGUGACUGUGGCCCCUUUGGGGCCACUCGCCUUAAAGUCAUUGGCGGCCGGUUCGUUGGCUUUGUAGAGCAGCACAAUUGCGUCCUCGAAGCCGCUGGACCAGCUCCCAGAAGCUAAUUUUAAAUGUUUGACCUCGAAUCAGGUAGGGAUACCCGCUGAACUUAAGC